rnacentral:rRNA from 1 species
AUGCAUGGAGUUCAGGGACUUUUCUGCAAAACUGGAAAUCCUGGAUAUUGGACAAAUUCACAGCGCACAGAAAAAAAUAACUAUGGGCUGAAUCUGAGAAGAACUGGGCUGCUCACCACGGGCCUUAGCAGGCCGGCUGGCUUAGCGGAUCUGGCGCGGCUUCUAGGUUUGCGUGGAUGGGCCAAGGGUAGGUUGGGCCUUGCUGGAAGCGGUGCUGGGCCGCGGCUGGAGAGGAGGCCGGCCCACGCAGCUGGCCAGCACGGUCAAUACGCGGCUGGAUCGAGCGAGCUUCUCUUGCUCGAUCUGGACAGCGGGGAGGCACUGAAGCGGGCGCGGUCAACGCUCGUCGGAAGCAGAGCAGCGGAGGUGCUGGACGGAAAGGCAGGAGCGGGGUCCGGCGAGGCAGGAGACUCCGGUGGGAUGGCAGGAAUGGAGCGGACGCGGGUGGUUCCAGGCAAACGGGCCGAGCGGACGCUGCUCCUGGCGGCGCGCCAUUAUUCCUGUGAAGGUUCAGGGAGAGGGAGAGAACUACGUGAGAGGGAGAAAACAGAGGGAGGAAGGAGAAAUAAGGGGAGGCGGCGAGGGCCCUGGCCUGAUGCACUGGCGCUGCUCCGGUGA